rnacentral:rRNA from 1 species
UACGUAGGGUGCAAGCGCUAAUCGGAAUUACUGGGCGUAAAGCGUGCGCAGGCGGUGAUGUAAGACAGAUGUGAAAUCCCCGAGCUCAACUUGGGAACUGCAUUUGUGACUGCAUCGCUGGAGUGCGGCAGAGGGGGAUGGAAUUCCGCGUGUAGCAGUGAAAUGCGUAGAUAUGCGGAGGAACACCGAUGGCGAAGGCAAUCCCCUGGGCCUGCACUGACGCUCAUGCACGAAAGCGUGGGGAGCAAACAGG